GACGAACGCUGGCGGCGUGCUUAACACAUGCAAGUCGAACGGUAAGGCCCUUCGGGGUACACGAGUGGCGAACGGGUGAGUAACACGUGGGUGAUCUGCCCUGCACUUCGGGAUAAGCCUGGGAAACUGGGUCUAAUACCGGAUAGGACUCCGGACUGCAUGGUCUGGGGUGGAAAGCUUUUGCGGUGUGGGAUGGGCCCGCGGCCUAUCAGCUUGUUGGUGGGGUGAUGGCCUACCAAGGCGAAGACGGGUAGCCGGCCUGGGAGGGUGACCGGCCACACUGGGACUGAGAUACGGCCCAGGCUCCUACGGGAGGCAGCAGUGGGGAAUAUUGCACAAUGGGCGCAAGCCUGAUGCAGCGACGCCGCGUGAGGGAUGACGGCCUUCGGGUUGUAAACCUCUUUCAGCAUCGACGAAGCGAAAGUGACGGUAGGUGCAGAAGAAGGACCGGCCAACUACGUGCCAGCCGCCGCAGUAA
rnacentral:rRNA from 1 species